UACCAGCACCCCGAGUGGUCGGGACGUUUAUUGGGCCUAAAGCGUCCGUAGCCGGUUCUACAAGUCUUCCGUGAAAUCCACCUGCUUAACAGAUGGGCUGCGGAAGAUACUAUGGAGCUAGGAGGCGGGAGAGGCAAGCGGUACUCGAUGGGUAGGGGUAAAAUCCGUUGAUCCAUUGAAGACCACCAGUGGCGAAGGCGGCUUGCCAGAACGCGCUUGACGGUGAGGGAUGAAAGCUGGGGGAGCAAACCGG
rnacentral:rRNA from 1 species